AACCUCCGCAAUGUGAGAAAUCGCGACGGGGGGAUCCCAAGUGCCAUUCUUAACGGGAUGGCUUUUCAUUAGUGUAAAGAGCUUUUGGAAUAAGGGCUGGGCAAGACCGGUGCCAGCCGCCGCGGUAACACCGGCAGCUCUAGUGGUAGCAGUUUUUAUUGGGCCUAAAGCGUCCGUAGCCGGUUUAAUAAGUCUCUGGUGAAAUCCUGUAGCUUAACUGUGGGAAUUGCUGGAGAUACUAUUAGACUUGAGACCGGGAGAGGUUAGAGGUACUCCCAGGGUAGAGGUGAAAUUCUGUAAUCCUGGGAGGACCGCCUGUUGCGAAGGCGUCUAACUGGAACGGUUCUGACGGUGAGGGACGAAAGUUAGGGGCGCGAACCGGAUUAGAUACCCGGGUAGUCCUAACCGUAAACGAUGCGGACUUGGUGUUGGGGUGGCUUUGAGCUGCUCCAGUGCCGAAGGGAAGCUGUUAAGUCCGCCGCCUGGGAAGUACGGUCGCAAGACUGGAACUUAAAGGAAUU
rnacentral:rRNA from 1 species